rfam:Ovis aries breed Texel chromosome 3, whole genome shotgun sequence.
UCCCUGGUGUCUCAGACAGUAAAGAAUCUGCCUGCAAAGCAGGAGACCUGGGUUUGAUCCCUGGAUUGGGAA